rnacentral:lncRNA from 1 species
UGAAGAAAAAGGAAAAAAAAAAAAAACAAAAAAAAAAAAAAAAAAAAAAAAAAAAAAAAAAAAAAAAAAAAAAAAAAAAAAAAAAAAAAAAAAAAAAAAAAAAAAAAAAAGAAAAAAAAAAAAAAAAAAAAAAAAAAAAAAAAAAAAAAAAAAAAAAAAAAAAAAAAAAAAUGAACAAAAAAGAGAAAAAAGAGAAAAGCUAAAAAAAGAAAAAAGAUAAAGAAAAAAGAAAAAAGAGAAAAUAGAAAUAAAAAAGAGGACAGAAAAAUAUGAAAAAAAAGAAAAAAGAAA